GGCACGUCAUAGGCAUGUGCGUGGCAGCGGCAGCAUGUGUGUUGAUUUGAUAUUGUAUCGUAUCGUAUCGUAUCGUAUCGUAUUCGAUCCAGACUGACAGUAGCAGUUGGCUGUUAUUUACAUCGACGCACUUUGUUGCUGCGAGCUGUCAGUGUCGCGAAAACCGAGCUGCGAUAACGAUGGAAUGUAAAUCGGCGCCUCUGGCGGACCUGCACCGGGCACCUUCCUCCUUUAGCUACCGUCAUGUAAAAUAUAAAGCGAAUGUCGCGGAGCACGCGUGUCGAAUCGUGGGACAACGAAUAACACGAGGAAAAGAUAGAGAACGGUUGGCAGCAUAGCGGCUGCCUUGACUCGGCUGCUCGAAUGGGAAAGGUCGUACAACCGUAAGUGCAGCUGAACUCGACGCACCAAUCUGGAGACGGGCGUUAGGACGAUUAGGAAUUUGCGGCACAGACGUAUCUGCAUACCAUUCUACGCGAACAAGCACAAAUACGAGGAUGACGUAUGUAUGUAAUUGUUGUCUGUAGCUUAACCUACAUAUUUUCUUUGUUCGCGCGCAACCUCUCGUCGACUAUGUGUACGUACAUAGUCCCCGAUGUCGUGGGACAGCGAUAACGUCGAAGACGGACGAUUCACGAUCCACGAUUCUCUGCGAAGGAAGCGAACAAGGAAGAGAAGAAGAAGAAGAAGAAGAAGAAGGAAGUCGUUCCGGAGGAUCUCCGAUCUUCCCAAUUUCUAAAUCGAGGCACGGCAGGUGUCUUAUCGUUCGCGCGCGUGCGAUCAAGGAAACCGAGGCUUCGAAGUAGCAAAGAAAAAUCUGUCGGCGGCGGUGCAAUCGAUAGCGGUCUCCCGCGGUGAGUCACACGAAUUACUGCUCAAUUAUUGACUGCAAAGGUCCGAUGGUGUGCCGAGAUUUCUCGACGCGAGCCAUCUUGCACCAAAUUUUAACGGCACGCGUUCUCGACAACGACGACGAUUAUUCGUUCGAAAAGAGCUGAACGGGUGAGAAGAGGAGAGGAGUGGAGAGGAGAGGAGAGGAGAGGAAAGGACAAAGGGAAAUAUCGUGGAACAACGGAUCCACGGGAUGCGAUAAUGGUGUCUGGUUAAUUUCUGUCGCGCGAUCGAUUGCUCGCUACGAAUCGCUGGGAAAUCCAAGACGGCGUCGGGGCUGCGAUCGAUCGAGCAGGGAAACAUCGAGAAGCGCCGAAGCUCCGUCCGUUCGCAUCUGCGGGUCUUCCCCGAAGAAUUAGUCGCUGGAAACGCGUCCGCCGAUCGCUAAGUAGCUCGAAAGGUCGCGAAAUAGCGCGAUUUUCCACGUGCAAACGGUCCGUCGUGGCUCGCGAGGCUAAACGAGAAUCCGGCUGAAAAUCCUGCGCCGUUGCGAUUAUCGUUUCGUAUUUCGUGCCGCCUUCGCACCGCAACAUCCGAAAUUACUGGUCGUUGCGUUUCGAUCGUGCCGCCUCGAUCGAUCGAGAUCUCAAAAUUGCGAAGUUUCUGGCAGUUCGUUCGUCGCGGUCUUUCCUCGAAUAUAUUUGCGAUCGACAUUGCCAAGCGUGAUCGGGUGCAUACUGGAAACUGUUGGGGAAACGGGAUAUUCGAACGGCCUAUCGCCUAUGCCGCACAGACCGGCGUGGCCCCUCUUCCUCGGGCCCCUUUCCCCUCUUUCUAUGCACGGCGUCUCAUGGUGUCGUACGGCAUACGUCGCGCGAGGCACGCACACGCGUACGUAUCGUACGUACGUACACGCAGCGACCAUACGGCAUACGGUAUAUGCCCACACCCAACGAUGAUACGCAAUCACCUUAGCAGCGGUGCUCAUAACGAUCGGCUCGCGUGCUAUCGGUACAUUUGUCGAUACCGCGCACUGGCGGCGUUGCUUUUUUUAAACCCGUGAAGGAUUUUGCGGUCGCGUUACUCGGAAAAAUAUUCGACGGAUAUUCGAGGAUUCGUGCAACCGAUAGACCGUAAUUGCUGCAACUAUUGUAAGAAGCGAUAGUCGUUGGGAAUAUCAAUUCUUUCCUCCUUCGCAAUCUCGUUGUUAUUACGGAACAAUGUGCGUCGAUCGAAGACGCGUAGUCGGUAGUUCUAUUAGAUUCGAGUUCGCGACGUCCAACGAGUAGAUGCAUUUACGACAAAGCGCGUGGGAACAAUUUGAAACGUUGGAGCGAUUAAAAGAACUGCGACUCCUCUGGAUGCGGACGAUGCGCCGAUUGCGCAAGGAUCCACAGUCUAGCGGCGCGGUAACGCGUAACCUCCCUAUCCGUACGCGACCAAAGGCAGUACGUAUCCCGUGUACCGUUUAUCGUUUGCACGAAUGUUCGGAUAUCGAAGUUCUUGCCAUAAAAUCUACCGGUUUCCUUAAAAGCGCCUCGACCUCCAGCAACGAACAACGCGUCCAAGGUGUCGCGUCGCAUCGGUUGGUCGACCUCUCGCAGGAACGUUUGAACUUUGAAGAGAAACCGCGCGAGACCGAUAAAUCCAUAUCGAUGACCGAGCCCCUGUUUCCGCGUUCGACGAUGUCGACAUACCGCGACCCGGCGGCGGCGGCGGCGGCGGCGACGGCGGCAGCGACGCGACGCGCUGAAUCUUGCGUGUCGCGGCUCGUAACCUUGACCUUCCUCGGCUCGCCAAUUAGAUUCAGGAGGUUUCUCGUUCCACGGAAUUUAGUCGGCGCCGAUUCGAUCCGGGCCACGGAGAGCAACCGCAGUCCCGACGUCGACGGAUCGGCAAAAAGGAACGUUUCGCUUCGCAUUCCGACCACGACGUUCGCGCGUUCACGAUCUUACGUAACGAGCUGCAAAUUAAACGGAGACGUUUUCGUUCGUUUUCUUUCCGAGGCUGGCGAACGGCGCAGUUUCAAGAAGCCUAAUAAUUUCCGUCCUAUUCCGGUAUUUUUUCUUUACGUAACCGUUCGAGUUAUCAAUGAUUCAUCGCUCUUCUGGCUUAGCCACACGCGUUCGCAUUAGCGUCGAUUACGAGUCGAUCGUGCUCGCGGCAUGCAGCACCUCGAGUGCUGGCUGCUCGUGACGAACUUUUUCUUCGUGCCCUCUUAUCGCGGGCGCUCUCCCGCCGUACGUUCUCCCGUUGCGGUUGACCUUGCCGAUAAAGCCGCGUCUGUGAAUGGCUCGCGGUCGCGAAUGGUGCCGAGCUCGUCCUUCCCGAUCUUCUGUCCGCGGUCCGCGGUAUAAAUAAGACCGAUCUUUUUCGGCCCCCAUUAUUUUGUCGUACGUAUCGCGAACGUUCCGCGACCGAUAAAGAAAGCGUUUGUUUCGCGCAAAGAUCCGCAGCCUACUUAUUACAUGUACAUAGGUACACGCGUACGCGCAUAGUACCGUCGCGGGGUGUACAUGGCUGGCUUCGGUUUCGCGCGUGCAAGCCGCAGACAAUUUCUACACACGCGAUAAGUUGUCCAAGUUUCCUCGGCGUUGGCAGUCGACGCACAGUCGAUCCCAUAUUUUGCUAAGAUUUCUCCUCCUCGUUCUACUUGCGGUGCAGAUGCUCCAUCAUAAUAGUUUCUAUUUUCGGUCGGAGGGUUGGCUACACGCGCUCGGUAGGUGCAGAUGUUCGCCGCCGGGCUAAAAUCGUUUCGGGGGAGAAGGUCGCACUCUCUCUCUCUCUCUCUCUCUCUCUCUCUCUUUUUCUCUCUCGAGCUGCUACGCAUUUUCACGAGAUCCGACAAAUCGGAUGUAUGUAACGGGGAAACGCGUGAAACUCGAAGAACGCGUUGGGACGCUUUCGAACAAAAAUUCCACCGUUUCGUCGACGCGACUAAUCGCAUAUACGAAAAUUAGCUACGCGAAAACUGAAAGACGAUUUUGGCGCGUGUCGCGAUCUUGUAAAGCAAAACUAUGAGAUGUUCGAUUAUACUCGUCCGUUACAUCGGCCGAAACGAGUAGGGGAUAAACCGAAUAAAAAGAUGAGAACCUAUAUCGAGAGAGAAAGCGAAUUUCUAUUUAACUACCUGCGAUCGAGGUAGACGAUUCUUGCGUCGAGUUUCCCGGUCUAAGGACGACGGUCCGUGCUUACGACGAAGAAAAAAUUUUGGACAGGGCGAAUCGUUGUCUCGAAUUACGCUUCGGACAAUAGCGGGACCGUUCUCCUGGCCACUGCCAGCAUCGCAGCUCGGAAACGCGAUUGGAGUCGCGAUGAGAAUACAAAGAGAACGGUGCACGGGCGCCUAAGGGAGUAAACGAAACGAUGAGCGUAAAAAGCCGGAACGAACGAAUCGUAGACCGUGCGCUGUACCGCUGCCUUCGAGCAGCCGCAUCGGUUUGUCGGUUUAACGAGGCUGCCCAGGUAUGCGUCCCUGGACGGAGCCACGAUAACGUCGGGGACUAUCGGAACUCUUUGGAAAAGGGAUCGAGCAAUUGCUGCUAAAGUACUACGAAAUAUAAAUUGCCGAACGCGUCCCACGGCUCUCGUUGAAACGUUUUCAAGCGCGGAUGGAAACGAAGCUACCCCGGCCGCGCUCGCAGAAACUUCUCCGAACGCGGAACAAGAAAGAUCAAAGUUCUCAUCUAUUAAAUGGAAAUUCGAAUCUGUUAAGCGCUGUUUCAAGUUACGGCAUAGCAAUUUCUGAUCGGAGCCGGAUCUUAAAACCGCGUUUACGUAAGCAACGGUCGAUGCAUCCUUGAGACUACGUUGUGAAAACAAUUUCUGUCUAGCACGCGUCAACGGAACGCGUUUUCUUUCGUUUCCAGUUUCCAUUGUCGUUCGUUGGCCGUCGUCGACGUGGAAGACGCCGGAUAAAUUUACAAUGGGAGACGACGGUGCGCGCGUUCAAAUUGUAACUAAUAACAGCCGCGUUCCGGGGACAUUCUUCCAGCCGCCUACCGAUGCGCGCAAGCCCGCCGUAUGGACGAGAGACGAGACGAUUAAUUGAAUAAGAGCCAACUCUUAUACCUCUCGAUUCCCGCGGUCUUUGCGCUGUUACUCGGGAGUCGAGAGCACGAACGACCUGGAAUUCGCGCCACUCGAAGCUAAACGACGAACCCUGUUCCGGGACACUUUCCGUUCGACGCGGUCCUCGCGAAUGUCUACGAUUUUACUCUCACCGGUUUUCCGAAAGCUCCUCGACCGCUUUGGCGAUUCUUCGUGUUCCCUUCGAAAGUUUCCAAGCGGCGCUCCACCUUUGUUACUUACCUGCGCGCGUUUGAAAACCGAUCGCAAAAGCAACUCGUCCGAUAUCGGGGUUGCGUAGGUUACGGUUGAAUCGAAGCUUUUUUUGCGCAACACCAUCCAAUCUCGUGAUACGCAGUUCGGUGUAGCGUGUGACACAAACAGAACAACCGGGAUAACGUUACGCUAUACGGAUAUCGGAUUUCCCGUUCGUUCCCACAGACUUCGUUUUCUCGAGAAAUUCGGUGUCGAGCCGAGAUUGAAAUUUAUCUUCGAAGCCUGUGUUUCUCGAGCGUCGUUUUUAAUCGCUCGAUAAACAAGGUCCCGAGUCCGAAUCGAAAGAAAACGUUUCUCGGAGCCGUGAACGAUACUUUCGUUCGGUAUCUCACGAAUUAUCGUUCGGGCAAGGUUCUUGUUGUACCAUCGAGAUAAACGGGAUCGUUGACAAAGCGCGCGGUGCGAUCGAACGACAGGGCCGAUAAGACCGCCGAAAAAACUGCGCCCUCUCUACGCGCGAUAACCGAAAACCAACGCAACGUUUCGAUAUCUCGUUAAAAUAAUCGUCGAUUAUCUGCGAUCGAUUUCUCUCGCGAGUUACACUCGGAACGUUCCCACACGUGGACAUUCCAACACCACCAUGCUACACGCGCAGCGACGUAGGCGUACAAUCCGACACCGUUUAUUCGAAACUAGCUAGAAUUACCUAUCGAUGCAGCGAGGCUCUAGUAUGCGAUCGAUUCGCCCGUUUCGCAUUCGUUAUCGCGAUACCGAGCAGAUCCAAACUUUCGAUCGCGAGGACGUCGAUCGUAUUUAAGAAUUACGAAGAAUCGCCUGCUAAAAUUCCGAAUACGCGCUCGAAAAUGUCGCGGGUAAAACUACGCGCGACAACCGGCGUUGGAAACGGUCCGCGAACGGAGGAACGCGCGGCCAGCAGAUUUUCCAGCUCUCCGUUUCCUUUCGCGCGUCUCACUCUUCCUCCGGCCGUCCCUUUUCGACUUUUAACGUACGUGCCUCGGUCAAUAAUAUGAUGCACGUGCGUUCAUUCACAGAACGCUAACGCGGUUUCAACGAGCCGUGUGCCGUGCCCUGUGCACUGUGCACUGUGUACGGUCCGCUCGUAACUCGUAAUCGAGUAAGACACGGACACUAAGAGCGACGCUCUCUCGACUUGCAGCCCCAAGAUGACACAUAUCGUAUGCACGAACGCGAAUUGCAUACGAUCGCGUUACAAACUGCAAGAGCACGACCGACGCGACGGUCCCAUUCGUUCCAGCGUGCCGGCACACGCGGCCGAUAACCGUGCACCGAUCGACUCGCCGCUAAUUAGAUGUUACUCGCGAACGCUAACGACCAACGACGCAUUCCGCGACCGCGUGCUACGGAACGGGACGGUUGCGAAACGCGCACCGGUCGUCGAAAUUCUAUCCCUAAUUUCUUAGCGAUCGACCGCGGGAACCGUCUUUACGCGGAGGAAACGAUUUCUGCAUCGACCGCGCGAAAAGUUGUUUCUUUUUAUAACAAUUGUAUCCGUAACGAACAAGCCGAUGUUACUUCCGCACCCUUGCGAUGCUUUCGCUGCUUCGCGUUUCGCGUUUCGCGUUUCGCGCGCCUGUUAUCGCGUCGAAUCUUCCCGAUGUAUCGUACAAUGCAAUAGCGAUCCGAGAGAUCUAGGCACGUACGACCGUGCUACGCAUUUUUAGACCACGUUCGAACAGAAGGGCCGAGCGUGUUAACCCUCGGUCGAAAUCCAAUUAACCGCUGUAAAUCGAUUUUAGGGGCGGUUGAUCCGGAAGCGGCGACCACGAACGACGGGUUGCGCCGGUGGAAUUGUUUUUCUCGUCGGGGCAACGCUUUCCGUGUUCUAGAAAAUUUCACUGUUUACCUUGUAAUCGGAUCACGUAUCGGACACGGGGUUACUUCUAGUCAAAGCGUCUAUUCUCGUACGCGGAAUUCUGAGCGUGCUCGAGGGCAGAACAUUCGUUGUUGCGAGCCGCAUCGGUGAGGCGCAUCGGCGCGGUGGUGUCGACGAGCUUCUAGCCGGCGGUCGUAAUAAAAAUAGCUUGUCGAUUUCGCAUUAAUUUUCCGGUAUUAGAAAUAAUCGAAACACCGCACCGGGGGAAAAGGAUGGAAACGAGCGCGGCCGCGAGCACGGGAAAAUCGCGCGAAUCCGCGGAAUCUCGACCGAACGAGAAGAAAACGGGGAUCGCGUAGGUGUCUACGCGCGCGCGACGUACGCGUGUAGCACGUGGAUCGGUCGGUGUCCGUCGAUAACCUUACGAUUUCUCGACGAUCGAAUCGCGUUUAGAAAUUUAGAUAUCUUCGACAGUAUCGAGUCUAUUCGCUGCGACCGCGACGCGACGUAUGCGUCUCCCUCGCGAGGCAUCGAAGAAACGAGCCUGGUUAUUAGAACGUUGUUUCGUGCAUCGCGGAUUUAUGCAAAUGCGCGCGAACGAAUGCAAAGUUCGCGAUCGCUUCUCCCAGUUCUGCCGCGAUAUCUACAACCGAUAUCCUUCCGAAUGUCUCGAGGGUAGUAGAGAUCGAGGUUCGCGAAUUGUAAUGGUUUUUGGACGUUUCGAAGCGACGCGGGCCGGGUUCGAACCCGUUCCUCGUACGUCGAGCGUCGAGCAGUUGCAUAAGAGAGCGUACACGUUGUAGAACGCGCAUGAAAUCGAUUGCUUAAUUACUGCUUCGAACGUUCGCUUCGACACGUUUCUUCCAAUUCCCCUCUGGUAGAAAUUUCGAACUGUCGAAAUCGGGGCAGUUGCGUAACACGCGUCGCAACGCGCGAACGAUACAGUUCGCAAGCUAGUAGAUUCGCAGCACGGAUUACAAAGUUGCAAUUUACGAUCUUUCGUUACAAUCGCACGAAUCGUUUGAACUGUUCGCGAUUUCCCUCUCCAGAAGCCAAUAUUUAAAAUUUAAUUAUUCGUCUUGUAAACUUUCUACUACCGGAAAACUUUCACCGCUUAUGUAUCAACGUUCUAUGAAAAUAAUUUCAGAAUUUAUAUCAAAAUAUACAUUUGGAUUGUAACAAGUUUUUAGACUGUAAUAGUGACAUUUCCAAAAAUUGUUUUUAAACCGCAGAAUUGUUAUGGAAUUGUUAUAUAAUCACAUAUUUUUUAAAUAAUUUGACAGAAGUAUCCUUGA